AGUGAACGCUGGCGGUAGGCCUAACACAUGCAAGUCGAACGGCAGCACAGUAAGAGCUUGCUCUUACGGGUGGCGAGUGGCGGACGGGUGAGGAAUACAUCGGAAUCUACUUUUUCGUGGGGGAUAACGUAGGGAAACUUACGCUAAUACCGCAUACGACCUACGGGUGAAAGCAGGGGAUCUUCGGACCUUGCGCGAUUGAAUGAGCCGAUGUCGGAUUAGCUAGUUGGCGAGGUAAAGGCCCACCAAGGCGACGAUCCGUAGCUGGUCUGAGAGGAUGAUCAGCCACACUGGAACUGAGACACGGUCCAGACUCCUACGGGAGGCAGCAGUGGGGAAUAUUGGACAAUGGGCGCAAGCCUGAUCCAGCCAUACCGCGUGGGUGAAGAAGGCCUUCGGGUUGUAAAGCCCUUUUGUUGGGAAAGAAAAGCAGCAGGUUAAUACCCCGCUGUUCUGACGGUACCCAAAGAACAAGCACCGGCUAACUUCGUG
rnacentral:rRNA from 1 species